rnacentral:rRNA from 1 species
AGCUUGCUGGGGUACACAAGUGGCGAACGGGUGAGUAACACGUGGGUGACCUGCCCUGCACUUCGGGAUAAGCCUGGGAAACUGGGUCUGAUACCGGAUAGGACCGCACCGUGAGGGUGUGGUGGAAAGUUUUUUCGGUGUGGGAUGGGCCCGCGGCCUAUCAGCUUGUUGGUGGGGUAAUGGCCUACCAAGGCGGCGACGGGUAGCCGGCCUGAGAGGGUGGACGGCCACAUUGGGACUGAGACACGGCCAGACUCCUACGGGAGGCAGCAGUGGGGAAUAUUGCACAAUGGGCGGAAGCCUGAUGCAGCGACGCCGCGUGGGGGAUGACGGCCUUCGGGUUGUAAACUCCUUUCACCAUCGACGAAGGGUUUCUGACGGUAGAUGGAGAAGAAGCACCGGCUAACUACGUGCCAGCAGCCGCGGUAAUACGUAGGGUGCGAGCGUUGUCCCGGAAUUACUGGGCGUAACAGAGCUCGUAGGUGGUAUGUCGCGUCGUCUGUGAAAUUCCGGGGCUUAACUCCGGGCGUGGCAGGCGAUACGGGCAUAACUUGAGUACUGUAGGGGACACUGGAAUUCCUGGUGUAGCGGUGAAAUGCGCAGAUAUCAGGAGGAACACCGGUGGCGAAGCGGGUCUCUGGGCAGUAACUGACGCUGAGGAGCGAAAGCAUGGGGAGCGAACAGGAUUAGAUACCCUGGUAGUCCAUGCCGUAAACGUGGGCCCUAGUGUGGUUUCACUUCCACGGGAUCCGGUCCGUAGCUAACGC